rnacentral:rRNA from 1 species
AGUGAACGCUGGCGGUAGGCCUAACACAUGCAAGUCGAACGGCAGCACAGUAAGAGCUUGCUCUUACGGGUGGCGAGUGGCGGACGGGUGAGGAAUACAUCGGAAUCUACUUUUUCGUGGGGGAUAACGUAGGGAAACUUCCGCUAAUACCGCAUACGACCUACGGGUGAAAGCAGGGGAUCUUCGGACCUUGCGCGAUUGAAUGAGCCGAUGUCGGAUUAGCUAGUUGGCGGGGUAAAGGCCCACCAAGGCGACGAUCCGUAGCUGGUCUGAGAGGAUGAUCAGCCACACGGGAACUGAGACACGGUCCAGACUCCUACGGGAGGAAGCAGUGGGGAAUAUUGGACAAUGGGCGAAAGCCUGAUCCAGCCAUACCGCGUGGGGGAAGAAGGCCUUCGGGUGUUAAAGCCUUUUUGUUGGGAAAGAAAAGCAGCAGGUUAAUACCCCGCUGUUCUGACGGUACCCAAAGAAUAAGCACCGGCUAACUUCGUG